GACGGAUGGGGCUAGCGUUAUUCGGAAUUACUGGGCGUAAAGGGCGCGUAGGCGGUCAAUUAAGUUAGGCGUGAAAGCCCUGGGCUCAACCCAGGAACUGCGCUUAAUACUGGUUGACUAGAGUUUGGUAGAGGAAAGCGGAAUUCCUAGUGUAGAGGUGAAAUUCGUAGAUAUUAGGAAGAACACCAGAGGCGAAGGCGGCUUUCUGGACCAAUACUGACGCUGAGGCGCGAAAGCGUGGGGAGCAAACAGG
rnacentral:rRNA from 1 species